rnacentral:rRNA from 1 species
GAGUUUGAUCGUGGCUCAGGACGAACGCUGGCUGCGUGCUUAACACAUGCAAGUCGAACGCUGAAGCCUGAUGCUUGCACCGGGUGGAUGAGUGGCGAACGGGUGAGUAACACGUGAGUAACCUGCCCCUGACUUCGGGAUAAGCCCGGGAAACUGGGUCUAAUACCGGAUACGACUGCCGGACGCAUGUCUGGUGGUGGAAAGUUUUUUCGGUUGGGGAUGGGCUCGCGGCCUAUCAGUUUGUUGGUGAGGUAAUGGCUCACCAAGACGACGACGGGUAGCCGGCCUGAGAGGGCGACCGGCCACACUGGGACUGAGACACGGCCCAGACUCCUACGGGAGGCAGCAGUGGGGAAUAUUGCACAAUGGGGGAAACCCUGAUGCAGCGACGCAGCGUGCGGGAUGACGGCC